UAUCUCUUUGUUUUCUGUAUAUGUACAGUCCUUAUGGGUUUGAAGUAAUGGUAUAAUUCUUCGUUUUAAGGAAUUCAGAAGAAUCAAGCAAUGAGGGAACAUGCUUGUUAGCACAGUGUUCAGGGACUUAGAGGACUUGUCUUGAGACCAAAUAUUCUUGCUUGUUGUAGUACAAUGGAACUUGAUGAUAAUGUCAAGUUAAAGCUCUCUCCAUUUUGCCAUGUUCCGGCCGAAAAUACUGUCACUCUCUAUGACGUUCCAAAUAUUUGGCACAUUCCUUUACUACUAAGAUAAUCUUGAAGAACAAACUUCAACAAAAAGCGACUUCUUCAAUAGACUGGCACAGCGUUUCCCAUUUGUUUUUAAUCUAUUGAGGAGAGAUCAUUCACUGUCAAAUGAUACUUUCAAAUAAGAUGUCAAGACGAUGAAUAUGACAAAUUCCAAUAAAGUGGGAAACAAAGUAGCUUUAGAAGGCAUAUCUGGAGGUUAUGAUGAUGACGCUAGUGAAAUUGAGGAUGUAUCGAACAACAAAUCCAUGUAUAUCUACACUUUGAGGUUCAGUUGUA